AUUUUUCUCUGCCAUUAUUUUUUCACGCUCACAAACAAGCAAACAAACAACAAAAAGCGAUAAGCAAAGGGUUUUCUCAAACGCGCCGCCAAUUCCGUCAACCACUGCGACGACUAGUGUACCAAGCUAUCUUCCCUCCCUUCCCCUCCCCAUUUUAAGGCUACCACAGUUGUGCCUCUGAUCCGGUGUACGCGCUGUUCCUCCCCCUUUUUUCUGUUUUCCUUUCUGUUUUUUUUUUUUUUCUCUCUUCGCGGUUAUUGGUUGUCCCCCUUCCCAUCUUGGGUUUUUGUUUUGACUUGUCUCUCUAUCUACCCCCUCUCUCUCUCACUCACUCUCUCUCACACACAGACACACACAACCUCAGCUACGCCGCUCCGCGACGAGAAAGAAAAGGCGAAGGGGAACACAGCAGGAAGGACACCACUUCACAUGAAAAACAACGCAAAAAGGCAACGACAACAGCAGUAAAAGACGCUCCUUGUACGCACUGUUUCGAACUUGCUCUGCCUCCUUCCCUCCUUUGUUACCUAUCCUGCUCUUUUUUUUUUGUUUUGCCCGAUUAUCGCGUGCUGAGAGACGGACAGCGCACAAAGAAGGGCAGAAGAGAGAAAGAGUGCAUGUUCUGCCGCAGGAAGGAAACAAGGAUACGAGAGAAAGCGCACAAGACAAACCCCCAGUAGCGUCUGAGGAUCAAGUGAGCGCCACGUCGUGGUCUCCAGCGCACUAUAAGAGGACAGCUCACUGAAGGCACACAAAGCGCUCGCGCACAGCCCCUUCCAUUUUCUCGCCCCUCCCCCUCUCCUUCCCAGUGCAAAAAGCCACCGUCAACAAAAAAAAUCAAAAAAGGGACACGCGAACAGCGUCGGUCUAUCCGCCUGCGUGCGUGCUGAUCUUGCCAGUUUUUAUUAUUAUUUAAAGAAGGAUCUGUGUCUCGCGUUUUUCUUUUUUUUUUCUUCGGUCUUUCUCACUCUUUUUUUUUCGUUUUUUUUCUUUGUUUGUUUCGAUUGAACAACUCCGCUCUUUUCUUUUUUUUCCCCCAUUAGCAUCAAAUAUCACUUUUUUCGCUGUUUCCUUUUUUGUUGUUGUUUCGGUCCUCUUCCACUCUCACCGUCGUGGAUAUCAUCGCGUUCUCCUCCAUCUAUCUUUUUUUUUAUUUCGUACUUUGAUUGUGCCUUCGAGCGUUUCGCUGCCGCAUCUCUUUUUUUUUUACUUUGUUGUGGUUGUGCUCCUCCUUCCUUAGUGGAUGCGAUUGCACAACGCGCACACAGCAAAGAAAAUAAAGACUGGCAACGGCGCGUUAACUCACGAGCGUACGUGCACGCACAGAUUCACAAGGUAACGGAAAUCUUUAUCUGCUUGAGCCGAGACGCAAGAGACCUGUCGAAGGGAAAAGAUUUGUUAUUCAGGCGUCACAGAAGCACCAAAAAAGGAAAAAUGAGCCGUCUUACCUCUGCCGCAUGCCCGCUGUCAGACUGCACGCUCGCGGUCGACAACGCCGAGAACAUUCGUAACAGCAAGGAUGCCGCCCCGUUGGGCCUGAAGGUUGCCACUGCCGCAACAGUAAUUCCAAGUACUCCUCGCCAACGCGCUUUACUGCGGAGUGUCAAGGCCAUAAGCCGCACGGCUGCUGCGGAGACGGUCACCCCGUCUGCGUGUCGCGAGCGUGUUUCCGGCUUCGCAUACCACAAGCACGUCACCGCUUCGACGACUGCUGUGAACACCGCCGCAAUGAUGCCGCUCUCCGCCGCGUGUGUGGCUUAUUGCUCUUCCUCGCUCGACAGCCACGUCUUCGCCAAGCCCUUCACGCCUGCCUCGACGCCGCACCGCAACGACCCGUACUCACCGUGUCUGCUGAAAAGCUGCUGCACCCCGGAGGACAGCUUCUACGCGUGCUACAGCGAAGUGGAUGAGACUCCCGCAGUGGUGGCAGUGAAUCCUGCAAACACGCCGAUCCGCUCGCACGUCGUGGGCCAGAAGGCUGCUCUGCCCACCGAAACCCAGGCGCUGCUCAAGUUGCUUUCGAAAGCGACCGCCUCCACGUCGCCCUUCAUGUCCCCGAUGGCGACGCCGCUGAAGACGGCUGACAGCAUGGAGCAGUCUCCCGCGUCUUUGAUAGCGGGUGGCGGACUGACUACAGCGCCGUCGUUAUCCUCCACGCCGGAGCGCGCCGCCUCGCCGUCAUCUCGGCAGCCGCCCGCCACCUCGGCCCGUGUGAUUCGAAAGGUGGUGAGCUGUGGCGUGGACCGCACCUCGGGUCGCCCGGUGCCAAGGCCGAAGGACUAGGUGAUGGUGGCUGCCCGGACCAUGUUUUUUUUUUGUUCCCGACGCUGAAUCGCGCCUUCGCGCAGGAGGAGAGAUAAACAUGGCCGGGUGCUGAUACUGAUACAUACAUAUAUAUAUAUAUAUGUAUAUAUAUAUAUAUAUAUAUAUAUAUAUAGAUCGAUGCGGCAACGGGAGAAGCGGCGGAUGAGCGGAGAAUGGAAAUCCACCAAUGGUGCCGGUCUGAUUUCAUGUGGAACUGAAGUCGACAAGGCGAGGACCAACAACAGCGACUAAAAGGAAUAGAGAAGGAAAGCGAGAACAGAGAGGUCACAGGCAAGCGUGCGUUGUGUUACCUUCGAAGUGAUUUUGUUCUCUGCUGUUCGACGGACUUUUAUGUGCGCCUGUGUUCAUGUUGACGUCUUCUCCAUGCCGCACUUCGCCAAGCCUUCCCUUUCCCGGCAAACAAGCACUCUUACCGCACCUGCAUUUUAUUCUUGGACGCCUUCCCCCCCCCCCACCUCCCGCCGAUUUUCCUUUGAUUCCAUUGAACCCUCUUCCCACGUUUUUUGGGUUUGUGUGCUGGGUGCAGGUGUGUUUGUGUGUGUGCCGACGCACCGCUGGUGCGCGUAGAGUACGGUGUCUGUGCUUUUUUUUUGUUGAUGCGUGUAUGUGUAUGCGUGUGUGUGUUCGCACGCGUUCAUUUCGUUUUUUUUUUGUCGUCUUUCUUGCCACUUUUUCUUCCUGUACACGCACUGAAGACCUCUUGCUUGCUUUCGUCUCUGCCCACUCCGUCUUUCUCUUCACAUGCAUAUGUGUGUGUAUAUGCGUGUGCGUGUGCGCGUGUGUCUGUCCGUUCGUCGUUUCCUGCCCUCGAGCUCACUGCUUCGGACGACCAUGCACGUGGGAGGGAGAGGUGAGGAGGGGGUAGGAGGAUAGGAGGAAGAGGUGGCGCGCGUACUCCCUGUCUCUCUCUCUCUCUCUCGAAAUGCUGGCGCAUACACACGCACGCACGCCCAAACACACAAACUAGCUAUGCUGUCUGAUUUCUUUCUCGUCCUUCUGGCUUGAACCACGCACACCCCGCAUCUCUCGCUUUCUUUUCUUCUUUUUUUUUGUUGUUGCUUUCAACGAUUUAUCUGUUGGUUUCAUGUUCUCUGCCGCAUCAUGUCUAUCGCUGUUUUGUUGCUGAGCACAGGCGUACGCACGCUUCCUGUCCCUCGGCUGUCAUUCCUGUGUGUGCGUUUGUGCGUGUGUGUGCCUGUGUUUGCGGCUAUCGGUGUUCGACUCGCUUUGUGACUUUUUUUUUAGACCCCCUCCCCUUUUUUGUGCUGAUUCUCCUGUUUCUUCUCUUUUGCCUUUCUCCUCGCCUUGCCUCUUUCUCGUUCAUCGCCGACGCGUGUUGUGUUGUGUGUCUCUUCCUGCCCUCCUGCUCUGUGUUAGUCGACAUCGAAACGGAGAUGGAGGAAAUAAGCCCAUGAUGAUAGCGAUGGCGGCGGCGGUGGUGCGACAACGCGUUCUUUUUCGUUUUUUUUUUGCCGACUCUCUCUCCAUCACGUACUCUAGCGUUAACGGAUUUUAGUUUUCUUUAAAUUCGCAAGCAGGAGAGGAGGCGGUGCUCCGUCUCUUCUCCGUUUGUUUUCUUCCUUUCUUUCAUCUCUUGUGCGUCUUUGUCUGCGACUCUCUCUCUUUCUCACUGCCCUAAUGUUUUUUUUUUCCUCACGCCUGACGAGCACCCCCACCACCAGCGUAGCUACAAGGGCAGACGACGUCCACUUGCGUACGCACGUUUCCAUCUUGUCACUAUCCUCCCCCUUACCCCCGCACACAUACACACAUACAUACAUACACACCCAACUACCAUGCCAAGGCAUUUUAUACAAUGGUGGUGUCGCUCUACCUCUCUGUGGUUUUCAUUUCGUUCUUCUCUUCGUGUUUGUCGGUGGCUUGUUCCUCGCUUGCAUACGUAGAUGUGCUUGUCUGCGUGUGCGUGCGACUCUCUCUCUGUCUUGUUUUUUUUUUCCUCCUUUUUUUUUCGCGCCUCCGGAUCAAACGUGGCGCGAGAGUGCCUCUUGUUCUCUAGGAAAUUCGCCAUCCUUUUCUUUUGUGGACGGUUUCCCUGAGCUUCGACUCAUCAUAUAUCGAACUAGCAGCAAACGCCAAGAAUACAUAUCCACAUCUGUACAUGUGCAUGGGUAUGCCGGUGUGCUUGUGAGUACGUGUAGAGUGUGUCAUUUUUUCUUCUGUAUUCUGAUGCUCUCUUUUUCUGUUCGGCUGUUCUGCCCUCCCCCCUCUUGUUCUGUUUUUUUUUUUAGGUUCUUGCGGGCGUUUUACGGUUUCGGGACUGGUAGGCCUGCGCGCUGUUCAUUCCCAUUGGUACAAUUGUGGCGUCAGGUCGGACUGAGGAACGGAAACAACAACGAAAAAAAACGCAGUGCCUACAGGUCGUGCGCACGGCUUCAACCCCACCUGAGAGAUGGGCGAUCCGAAGAUGAGAGACGCGCAAGAAAACAAGGCAAUCAUGCAGGAGAGCUCCUUGGCGUUUCUCACGAAAAAAGAGGUUGAUGAGGGGUAGGGUCCGUGUAGUUGUGAGAAUAGGAACCAUAGCGGACCUCGCAUACUGGCUGCGUCUCCUCCCAUGUUAUCCCACACCCUCCCAUCGCAGAUGUGAACAGAAGCUUGACGCAUCAAGGAAAUGGAUGCUGUAGCCUUGUCUCUGCACGUGCCGUGUAUCCACAAAGAGAGACAGAUCAAGUAGAGGGAAGAGGCAACUCUCGGAAACCCAGGCUAUUUUUUUUCUACGUUUUUUCUCAUGUUUUUCUUUGCUUUUUUUUCGAGGGGGGAGAUGGCGGGGGAGAUGGAGGAAGCUCACCAUCACGCGGAUGGCCACACGCCUAAACACACACACACACACUCACACGUGUAAGUGAUGACUAUGCACGGCGAGCGGGCGAGCGAAUAAGGUGAAUGCCAAUCCGAUCAGAUCCUUCAUCUGGUAAGCGAUGAGACCAAACAAAACCAUGAGACAGGAAACAGUUCUCACACGAGGCACGUGCGCCUUAUCGAGCCGAACAGCUGUGAGUGAUGCAGGCUACGCUCUCCUUCCCUCCUUUCCCCAUCUCCUCCUUCAUCUUUAGCACGGCUGGGUUAUCCACAUGUUCAUCUCCGAUUUUUACGUUUUGCAUUUUUUCUUUGGAGCUCUCCAUUGUGUCUUUCUCACUGCCUCCGACCGCUGCACGACAUCACACACAAGUCAACUCUGCACACCGUAGGUUUUCGUUUUUUUUCCUUUUUCACGCUGCGUUUUUUUUUGUUGCUGAUUUUUAUUGUUCUUUAUUUUCGUAAUCGCUCUCUCCUUCUUGUCGCAGUUCCUGCCUGACUGCCUCUGUUUCCUCUCUGUGGUGUGUGUGUAUGCGGGGGGGGUUCCUCUUUUAUUGACAUGUGUGCCCUUUACCCCGGCGUACGUGCGCGCGUGUGUGCGUGCGUGUGCCAGUCGUUUUCUGUCUCCUCUCGAUUUUCUUUUUAUUCCUCCUAUUUGGAUUGCUCUUUCCGAAGUCGAUCUGUUCGUGCUUCUUCUCUUUUCACAUAUGCAUGCUAUGAUGAAGACGUGCCUUAGACCGUGAACGCUGACAGCUAAUUCUCGCGCUUUCUUUCUUGCACUUACCACCUCCUCUCUUUCCUAUUUCGACAGGUGAAUGCACCGGUUCCUGCGGAAAUAACACCUUUUUCCUUGCCUCUCGUAUGUUUUACAUUGGUAAACAUUUCUCGGGACACAACGAUGCGACGAGAUCGAGGGCUGACGAAGAUGCGUUCUCUUUUUUUUGGUUUCCAGUGCAGAAAGCUGAACAGACGUGGUGGCACCGCACUCUCGUCCCUACACAAAAUCACAGCAUAUACGUGUAUGAAUACUCUUGUAUAAGUGAAGCACUCUCUUCCUAUUGGUAUGGCCUCGGUGUAAGCGGCACGAUCGCGCACACCCCAGAAGCUGGAUAUCUUGAGACGAAUACGCUGACUCGCUCAUGGCCUCGGUGUAGCCCUCUCUCCCUGCUUCCAAGUUCCACCUCUUUCCCUCACGCUGGCGAAGGAAAGGGCGCAUCUGCGUCGAUCUGUUAUUUUUAGUUCAAGCGGCCGUAGCGAAACGAUAAAAGAACAAAAAUACACUACGAGGUCCACGUUCAGUGGACGACAAUACGAAGAUGCACGCACGCACGCACGCGCGCACACAUAUACAGACACGUGCGUACUGGCAAAUUCAACCAGGAGAGAAGAAAGAGGAGCCAAGUGAUAGAUUGUACAACGGAAGCUGAGAAAAUUAAAGCAUGCGCAAAAACACACAAGCACAUCAGCGAAGAUGCGACGCCACCAUCACCGUCGACUGUGGUGUCUCCACUGCGACGCACUGUGAGUGAUGUGCGCUUUCCUCCUCGUCACGUGUGCGAAUGUGCGUGCGCGUGCGUUUUUGUUCUUUUCUUUGGGUAUAUCACGAACCCCAAAAAAAAUUGUUUUCCCCACACAGCAAUCGACCGAGCGUUCAAAGAAGCAAUGGCCGAGGAAGGCGAGGAAAUCGGCCACAUAAAGCGAUGAGGCUAGAACGCUCGAUAAAACGAAAAGGAUUUCUUUUUGCACUUCACUUGGCUUCUCCCCCCCUCCCAGCGUCUUCUCCCUCUUCCUCUUUCUCCAUACCCGCAGAGAGCGAUGAAGCUGUGGUGCGGUAUGUGUGUGUGUGUGUCUUUAGCACAUACACAAGCGCGUGCACAGGCGGUAGAAGUGCCCUUCUACGCGAACAACAACAACAACAAAAAAAAAACGUAGAGAGCCUGCGCCGAGCUCCUUCUUGGUGUCAUGGCGCGGCGGUGGACAACGGCGUCUUCAUAUGUGUGUGUGUGCGCGUGCGUUUACGCUUUUCUUCGUUUCUUAUUUGCUUCUGUGCUUGUGUUUAGUUCUACUCCAAGCGGAACGCAAAGCGAAGAGGGCGCCCAUGCACCUUCUUGCGCUUUUUUAUGUGGCGUUUCCUUUUUUUUUUGUUUGCUUGCUUGCUUGCUUGAUGCUGUCUGCAUCCCAUCACAUGCGCCGUGUGUGUUUCUUCGUUGUCAUCGAAAGUGGUAGCGGAUAAACACAUGCAAAGGAACGGGGGAAAAACGAGAAAUGGAGACACGUGAAAAAAAAAAAACAAAAAGGACACACAAACUCGAGAACACGGUCAAGCCACGUCUUGCUGCUUUUUGUUGUACUUCUGUUUUCUUUUUUUCCACCUUUUUUCUUGUGUCUUUUAGCACCAUUUCUCCGGUCCUCUCGACGUCUCGCUCACCUCCAUCGGACCUCUUUCGUCCCUUGACGGUGCUGGAUCCGUUUUCCCUUUUGCGCUCCUUUUCUUUGAAACAUUUUCUUGUGUUGGUUUGCUCGGCAUCCUCUUUCUGUCUUUUUGUUCCGUUGUUGUGGUUGCGACUUUGGAACUGCCCUUCUGAGUUUAUCCCUUGUACCCCUCGGCCCCUCGCCUCCUGCCCCGCAUGAGGUUUCCCUCAUCAGCCGUCCUUCCACGAGCAGUGGCCGCUACACGCUAUACACCGCACGAGUUCAGCCAUGGCUCUCUCGCCGAUAUUUGACGCAGGAGGAGAAGAGCGAUAAUGGAGCGGCUUGGGGGCAUGCAAUGAAAGCUGAACUCUCCCUCUUCCCUCCCUCCUCCUCACGCUUACGUGGAAUAGAGGUGCUUGUGUGUGUUUUCGUUUUUUUUUUCGCCUUUUUCGGUGCUUUUCGCUCAUUAGCUUUAUUCUUUUUUUUUCCGCUGCUUUCACACUUGCCUCCUAUGACGAAUGAGUUCGAACGCAGAUUUUUCCCCGUUUUGGCAGUUCUUGCUUCUUCGUUUGUUCGACUUUCUUCAGCGUUUUUUUUUUCUUCAAGUUUCCAAAAGGGAGUGCUUCACUUCUACUGGCUCCGCCUGUCGCCUCCCCCUCCCCGCCCAAACACUUCAUUUCUCUGCGGCUAAAGGCAAAAAAAAAAACAGGAACCAAAUAGAGGGCUGGAAACUGCCGGGGCUGACGCAUGUGUGUCUGUGCGUAUGCAUGCAUGAUCGUACGCUUCUAUUUUUUCGGACACCUCUCUCUUUGUUUUUUUUUUCCCCGAACCUCCUAUUCGGACGCCUCCUCCAUGUCCCAUUCCACAGUUUUUUCCUUUCCCUCAGAGAGGAAGAUUGGAGGAAAAGGAGGCGCUCCUUUUACAAGAUUUGUUUUCACGCUUCUGCCGCCGCCCCCUUUUUUUUCUAAUAUGAUGUCCCCCCUUCACAAACAAACAAAAAAGUGCGUUCGCCCUUUUUCCCCUCACAACGAAAAGCGUACUUGAAACGUACAAGAAAAAAACAAUUUAUGAUGUGCUCGGCAUGCUGAAUUCCCCCCUUCCCCCCGAAAUGAGCUUUCUUCUGUCGGCGGACAAGCAGUGUCCGAACAAGUCUAUCACAGGCACACAAACGAGGGAGUCGGUGGGCAAAAGCGCUGUGCUGAGGUGAGGCUGCAUUUUUUUUUGUUGUUCACUGCUGUGCUGUGACUCAUGGUUUGUUUUUGUGUUUUUGCGUUGCGUGUCUGCUACGAUGGGUCAUUCAUGCUGUCUGACGCGGAGUGAUCAGACCACUCGCACGCACUGGAGAGGGAUGGUGAGAGGCGAACCAACAACAGAAAGGCAAAGGUACACGAGAUACGCACGUUCGCUCGCGGUUCCUGUUGUAGUCGUGCUCGAAGGCAAUCACGACCAGCAAGUCCCCACCACCACCAACUAAUACCACCCCUCGAAAAAGAACAGAACAAGCGCAGUGUCACUGCCGGUAGAGCUGCGGCACUUGAAGUACUUGAUGUGGGGCGCAUCGGCAUACACCGAACGCGCAUAACCGUCCCCUCUCACACACCAGCGAUCUUCCUUUCACUUCUCGUUUUCGAAUCUCACCUUCUGUGCUAGCUCGCGCCGUGACAAAGUGGUGUUCGUGGAUGCGUCGCAGAAGUGCGUAUAUUCGCUUGUGUGCGUGUGUGUGUGUGUUGCACGUCCUUGCCGGCUUCAUUUUGAUGCGCGCGGUCCUUUUCUUGCUCGUCUCUCCCCCACGUCUCUCUCUAUUCACGCUCCCACAUUUGAACCGCAUUCUGUUGUCUUUUUCUCUUUAGUCGGAGGUCUUCCGUGCGCGCUUUUCCUUGUGAUUUGCUUUCUGUGCGCUCGUAAGUUGUUGUCGUUCGAUGCUAGUCGUUGCCGUUCCUUUCGCGACCCCCCUCCCCCCAUCCGCCUGCUCUUCCCCUGUUGUCCUCCUCCUCGUUGGUACUCUUUUCAUUCCACCUUCUUUGUUUUCUCUCAGUGCGUCUUCUUUUUGAGCUCCAUGUUUAUCCCGUUGACCAGUACACACAACCAUGACACUCUCCACGUCGCCCCCAUCUUUUUGCUUGUUGUUUUCCCAUCUUUCUGUAUCUGUCUUCAUCUCUCUCUUUUCUUUCUCUUACUCGCUCAGCCGAAAAACAGAAAAAGUUAGAGCUCACCACAGGAGCGCUGCUCUCUCUCCCCAUUCUCUCUUCUUGUUCUCUUUCUCUCUUUCCGUAUUGCCUUCCGUGCACCUUGUGUGGUCUUGGAGGGAGGAGAGAGGGACGGUUAGGAAGAGAGAGCGAAGGAAAAGAAGGGGGCAGGAGGGGACACUCGCUGGAAAGAUAUGAAGCAACGAAGAAAAAAGGGCACACAUCCGCAUACAUAGAUGUACGCAGACAAGUGCUUUCUUCAUAUUUCUUUUGCGCUUGUCUUGCUUCAUCUCUUUUUUUUUCUUUUUGUUUUCGCUCUUUACUUGCAGUGAGCUAUUUUUCCCGUUUAUAACGUGAAGUAUGCUUGCUCUCUUCUCCUCCGUCCUGUUUUGCGUUACCUCUUCUCUUUCACCUCUUUUCACUUCCCCCACCUCCUCCUUCCUUUCUGAAACAACGUCCGCAUAUUAUGCUUUUCUUUUUUUUUUGUUCUUGUUUGUCGGUACUUCUUCUUUCCGCGUUCUUUCUGCUCUCUGAGUGCGUGUUUUGUGUUGUUUCGUUUUCGCCCAUCUUUUUUUUUUUUGGUUACGUCUAUCCUCCUUCUAUAACGGACUCUCUUUCUCCCUCUCUUCUCCCUCCCCCUUCCUCCCUCCCCUUUAGCUUCUUCCAUUUCCCAUGCUUUGCUUUUUUCUUCUGUUUCACUGGGUCUCCUCGCCCCACAUUCCUUCCUUGUCUUGAUUAUACUCGAUCUCUUCUUCCACCCUGUUUCUUCCCGUAUAGCUUCUCUUCCUUUUCUUGUUCAAGCACGCGUUUGCCUCUCGUUUUUUUUUUGCACUGCAUUACUUUUUUCUUCUCGUGCGUAUGCGUGCUUGACUCCUCCAACGUUGCACCCUCCACUUCCCUUUCUCACACGGAAACGCAAACGCGGCUGCUGUGCACCGUCACCUCCCUAAGAGAACGAGCACAAGCCGACUCCGGCAGUGAAGUCGUCGCUGCUAUCCGUGAUUGCACACCCACGCACAUGAAUACGCAGACACCGAAGGGAAGCGCAAAAAAAAAUGAAUACCUCUUCCGCGAGUAGGUUUUCUCUAUAGGACGAAAAAUUAUGCUCCUUUUUUCCUCUUUCAGGUACCCUGUGAGUCUAUGUGGAUGUGAUGUGUGAUGCGUGUAGGUUUUUCACAUCCAUAUCUCCUACGUUGCUCUUUUACUAUCUUGUCGAACUUCUUGCUCCAUGCACGUUUAUUGAAGAGGAUGCGACCGGUGCCACACGUCUUCUUCUUUAUAUCUUUCAACUGACGAAGGCGCUGCCUCUUUUUCGUGUUCUCCGUGCUCUCGACGGAGCUUGGUCUUUUCUCCCUUGUUUCACUUCGCCUUUCUUCUAACUUUUUUUUCUUGUUCUGCCAUCUCCAAGUUUCACCACGCCCACGCGUUCGCUUGCAACGGAAAGUCGCUCUCCUACUCUUACGGCCUCCACUGUUUUUCUCCCCUCUCCUUCUUUCCCUUCUCGGGUCAUACGCUCCUCCCUUCGUCACGUGCCCUCCGCCGAUAAAAAACGACAGCGAUCUCCUCCUCUUCAGCCCCGUCCUCCCUUCUGUUGCUCCCCCUCAGUGACUUCACUCUGUUCCCUCGAUUUUUGUUUUUUGAACGGUGGGAUUUCGACGGCAGCGGUGCAUAUCUUUUGCUCUAUUCGGUGCUUGUCAACUUCGCAGCUGUCACCUACUAGCGUAGAGAGAGAGGAGUGCGGUCUGGCCCGGGUUGGUGGCGGACACGAAGCGUGAAGCGAGAGGAAGGGUGGCGGGUCUCUUUUUUUGUUUUGUCGUUCUUAGCUGGAUACACGUGCCUGCGCUUGCGAGAGACGGCGGCGGUAGGGGACGAAGGCGGAGCACACACGACGCAUGCAGAGUGGCUAUGAGAAGGUGAUCAAAGGAUGGUCAUGAGGGGAACAGAGGCGGUGGCAACCGUGAAAGCAACAGCAGAGGGAAUAAACCGGAUACACACGUACGGCGUAGAAGGAAGAGUUCGAAUGAGUCCUUGUUUUUCGAUCAUCAAGACCGUGCGCCUCCUCCGUUUUCUCCCUUCUGCAUCACGUUCCUGCCUCUUUUGCUGUCUGCCUGCUCGCGCGUCUCUCUUGAAUCCUUCCCUUCUGCUCCCCCUGAGGCAACGCAGCCUUCACCUUUUUUUUGUCGUCACGUGUAUUACACGAUCUCUCUCUCUCUCUCGUUCUCUCAGAGGCACUGCAGCGCCCGUCAAGCAUGAGAUCUGCUAGUUUUCGUUUUUCAUCGCUUCUGUUUUUGUGUGGUUGCUUUCCCUCAUCUCUCGCACACACACACACACACGCACACGUUUGGCUGCUUGUCUUUGACGAGCGCUUUCAUUUUUUUUUUCUUUGCCAUUCACUCGUUUUUGCCUUGCCUUCGUUUGGCGAUGGCGCCGUCUCCUUUACGCUCCACUCUCCCUCGAUAAUUUUCUGUUUGUGCUGUUUUCGCUCCUUUCCGUGCUCCUGUGUGCUCCACGGCGCGAGCCGGCUCACUGCCGACCUUGAGCAGAGAUGUGGCUCGGUGCUGCCAUCGACGACCCACGCACCGUUGUAAACCUUCCACACAGCGGACCGGAAAAUGUACCGUGCCCUUAUGGACAAAUCGGCCUGCAAAGGCCGUGCCCACCACGGCGGCGCAGAAGCGAGGACGCGCGGGCUUCAGAGAACCGUGCUGGCUCCGACAUCACAAAAACCCGAAAGCCCAUCACGGAGGGAAGGCAGGGACCGCACAUGCCGUUUCACCCGCAACAAACGCCGCCACGCAGACGCACACCUGCAACGUGCUUAUCACGAAUGCGGUGAACUUCAUGACUAGACUCGCAGCCAAGAUUACCAGGAAAGCCGUCUUAUCUGCUGGAGGCCUUUCUAAGACCGUUCUCAACUCUGUAACUGGCACUGUCGAAGGCCGCUCUUGAGAAGGUACUCUGUGGGUUGCGCGAACACCGCCCCAUUGCAUCUGUGUUCAAAAAGCUCCAAAAUGCGGAUCUCGAGGACUGCGCACAGUUCUCGACGCUCUCUCACCCCCUGGGACCCUAGACUUUCAACACGGAUUCCAGGAUAUCCAUGCCCCCCACCCCCUUGCACACUGCGCACACCAGCAAUCAGGCGAAGCAACCGCUAAGGUAAUAUUUCGAAAAAGAAAAACAACCAUUGGGGGCCGUUUCCACUUUCUUUUUUUUUGCUUUUUGCUCCCGUCGUCCUGAUGACGGCGGACACGCCCAUGUGCGUGGUAUCCCAGACUGCAGUGCAGCCCCCCCCCCCUCCCCUCCCCCCACACCACCAGCUCUCUCCGCGUGGGGAGAAGCCGAGCGGCACCCCUCCCCUCUCCUCUAUCGGCCUGCCCAUGCCGAACCGCUUGUGGCGCUGACAGGGUCAGGGCGAUGUAUCGCUACCCCUGCCAGCGGCCAGGUGCUGGAUCGGCGUGGCAUCGCUGCGGCCUGCGACAGUGCACCGGUCUGACCCGUCCAUAUGAUGGGGGAAGUGCCAGCGCAAUGCAAAGAUGUCUCACCCGGGCCUCACUGCCGACUGGUGUGGGGAGCCGGAGCCCCCCUCCCGAGGGGGCCGCACCAGGGGUGGCGGCCUGCAUGGUGGGAGGAGCUGCUGUGAGGCGGCCUGUGAGGCGGGGUGGGUGGGUGGCGUUUGAGGGCAGGGGCCGUGCUCUCAGAUGGCUGAGUCGGCACCUCGCUGCAAGGUGCGUGUGCCUAGGGCCGCCAUCGCCCCACGCGAUGGAGGGCGUGUGACAGGGCCGGGGGUGGAGUGGAGCCCGAACUCAUGUUGUAUGGCAGAGAAUAGACGCAUUGAGGCGAAGAAGAAUUCCCUCUUUUCGGCUUUGUGCCGUGCUGGGGCUCUCCUUUAGUGCAGCGGAUUCAUCAUUUUUUUUUCUGUGCUCGUUUUGGUUUGUGUUUGUGUUUUCUGUAGGGAAAUGUGUAUUAGUAGUGUAGUAAGGUGUUUUGCAUCUCCUUGUCUCUUUUCUCUCUUGGUGCGCUGUCGUCAUGGCCGACCUGUUCUGUGUUGUAUUGUGUCGGCGAAAACCAUUGCUCUCCCUCUUUGGCCCAUCGCUCUCCGGUGCUUUUUUUCCUGGGUCCUAUUCACAUGCGCUUUUCUUUGUCUGAUCCGCGCAACGAACUUCCGACCUUGCUGGAUUGAAUUUGGGCAGGAGAGGACAUGCGCACGUGAGAGAGCCCGUUAUCUGUGUAUGGUGAGGCUGUCUGUUUAUGCUUUUAUCUGCGUCUCAUCCUCUUGCACGUAUCUUCACGUUGCUCAGAGCUGCGUCUCUUCCGUUUCUUUAUGUGCGACGAACGCGUCUCCACCAUUCUCUUACACGACGUCACCACCUCCUUCACUUUUCUCCGUUCCGAUGUCACUCUCCCGCUCUUUUUAUUCUCUCCUGUAAGUAGUUCUUUUUUUUUCUUAUGCUCCGUUUGUGCUUCCCUAUCCUUGUCUUCUACCAUGCUUUCUUUGAAUACACUCAUCUCUCGUGUUUGUGUUUCGCUAGGAUUUUUAUCGAGGAUAAACCGGUGCCAUGCCGUCUGCAUGACGCACCACACCGACUACCCCGUAGAUCUCUCCCCACCGCCUUCAUAUCUGCAUGGUGGCACCGCAACGGGUAGCGAACACGACAAGAGCGUGACAGCGGAAACAGACAGAGAUGCACCAAAAACAGCCGUGUCUUUUUUUUUCCCGGUAUACGAUGAGGCUGCUGUGCUACGCUGUCCACUCGUUCUGUCUGUUGAUGUCCGUAUAUGCAUACGGAGGUGCUUUUUUUUGUUUUUGUGGUUUGUUUUUGUGCUUCUUUGCAGCUGCUGUUCUGUGUGUGCGGUGCCUCCCAGUCGCUUUACUCUGUUCUCAUAUUUUCUCCAGCUGUUUCUCUCGCUCUCCAUGUUUUCCUUCGAAGCCGGUUUUGCUUCUCUCUGUCUUGCAUGACUGCUCUGCGACCUCCUCGCCCCUCGCUUUCAUACUCCUCGUGUAACUUUCUCUCUUUCGCUCGCGGUCUGUAUAUGCCUGUAUGUGUGAAGGCUUUUUCUGGAACGGUGUCACAACCGCAGUAACAUGCGCACUCGCAGAGCAGGAAAGGAGAGAGGAGGGCAAGACAGGCAAAAAGGCGGGAGCACUCAACAACAACAAAACAGAAGGUACGAACAUGGGACGCGGGAGGAAUAGAAGAGAACAUGGGCAAACCAGCACACAAAACAGAAAAAAAGGAAAGCGCCAUAAUCACUACAAUCACACGGAGAGGGAUAUACAUAUAUGUAUGUAUAGGAAGCGGGAGACAGACAAGGAUAAAAGGACCUCGUGUUUGUCAACGCCUGUGCCUGAAUGCGUAUGAGCACGUUUCCGUAAAGUUGCUGGCGGAGUUGCUUUUUUUUUCUUGUUCUUUCUUUUUACUGUUUCGAAAAUUUUUUAUUGUAUUUUUGGCUCAUACGGGUGACCGUGAUAGAGUGCAGAGUAGAGUUGUAGAUCUCAUCAUUGACGACGCCCCUACUCCCACGGCUACCGAUAUAUAUAUAUAUAUGUAUGGUUGUGCUACCUUGCUCAUGCCGCCUACGGACCUCUCUUUUUUCUUUGCUUUUCCGUGUGCGUGUCGGUGUGUGUGCUGAUCGCUUUUGCCUCUUUUCUCUCCUUCUCUUUACGGGCAAGAGGUGUGGCAGUAGCCAAUGCCAGCUGCAUGGCUCUCUCUCUAUCCUAAGAGGACAUGAAUAG
rnacentral:misc_RNA from 1 species